GGUAAUCCCAUGGAAUCUUGACGCCGUAGUAGUCAACCAGUUCCGUGGCGGAGAGGCCUUAGGAGGGGCUCCAACACUCAGAACUCUGAAUGUAGCCCACGUCCGUUGUUCUCGUACCUUCUUCCAUCGCAGGAAGCUGCUCACCUAGGACCUCGGGACAUGCUGCUCUUCUGGGGAAGAAAAUGUGCUCCACUUAAAGGAUACUUAAGUCCAACACUGGAGGAAGCAUAUCUGAAAGAGCCCACAGCUGAGAUCAAGGCAUAAAGACACUUGCUUCCAUGUGAGAUUGACUAAAAAUACUGUGUUGAUUGGGUAAAAGUCAUCAUGAAGUGGACCAGGGACCUCUGCAUCUCCAAGUGUAUUUCUACCUUCCAGCUGCAAACCCAGAAUAAGGCAUCCAAAGAAUAAAGAAUGAUUCCAUACUUCUA